rnacentral:rRNA from 1 species
GACGAACGCUGGCGGCGUGCCUAAUACAUGCAAGUCGAGCGCAGGAAACUGACGGAACUCUUCGGAGGGAAGGCAGUGGAAUGAGCGGCGGACGGGUGAGUAACACGUAAGGAACCUGCCUCAAGGAUUGGGAUAACUCCGAGAAAUCGGAGCUAAUACCGGAUAGUUCAUCGGACCGCAUGGUCCGUUGAUGAAAGGCGCUCCGGCGUCACCUUGAGAUGGCCUUGCGGUGCAUUAGCUAGUUGGUGGGGUAACGGCCCACCAAGGCGACGAUGCAUAGACGACCUGGGAGGGUGAGCAGCAACACUGGGACUGAGACACGGCCCAGACUCCGACGGGAGGCAGCAGUAGGGAAUCUUCCACAAUGGACGAGAGUCUGAUGGAGCAACGCCGCGUGAGUGAUGAAGGUUUUCGGAUCGUAAAACUCUGUUGUAAGGGAAGAACACGUACGAGGGGGAAUGCUCGUACCUUGACGGUACCUUACGAGAAAGCCACGGCUAACUACGUGCCAGCCGCCGCAGUAAAAC